rnacentral:pre_miRNA from 8 species
GGUACUUGAAGAGAGGUCUUCCAUGGUGCAUUCGCUUUAUUCUUUGACGAAUCAUACAUGGUUGACCUUUUUUUAGGUAUC